GAUGAACGCUGGCGGCGUGCUUAACACAUGCAAGUCGAACGAAGCACUUAUGAUUGAGAUUUCGGUUGAUUGAUUAAGUGACUUAGUGGCGGACGGGUGAGUAACGCGUGGGUAACCUGCCUUGUACAGGGGGAUAACAGUUAGAAAUGACUGCUAAUACCGCAUAACCCGCUAAGGUCGCAUGACCUAGACGGAAAAGAUUUAUCGGUACAAGAUGGACCCGCGUCUGAUUAGCUAGUUGGUGAGGUAACGGCCCACCAAGGCGACGAUCAGUAGCCGGCCUGAGAGGGUGACCGGCCACAUUGGGACUGAGACACGGCCCAA
rnacentral:rRNA from 1 species